GUUGCUAAUGGAGCCCGAACCAGACACAUUUCUCUGUCGAUUUCUGUUUGAUUUAUGUUACAGUUUAAAUGUAUUAUGGUAUCUGAUUUAUCUAUUCUAUGGUUUUAAAUGCAUGUGUCACUACUUACUUCACUACUAUUUGAUUUUGGGAAUCUAAGAUAUGCUUGCUUUGUUAGAUGCACGUUACUUGUUUUAUGUAUUUAUGUUUGUGUCGGUAACGGAGACUAAGGACAAAUAGGAAUGAGAUGUGAUUUGAUAAAUGGAUAAGAUGGCAGCCUUACUAGAUAU
rnacentral:lncRNA from 1 species